AGAUUGACUGUGAAGCAAUAAAUGUUAUGUCGGACGAGGAAUAAGCGAAGUAUGUUCCAGCAUAUGGUGAUCGAGUGGCCUUGUUUGCGUUUGCAAGAUGUUUGAAAAGUAAAGAGGAAACCACCGACCAAUGUCUUGCAUCCCAUCUGCGUAAAAAUAUCUUUAGACCUAAAGGGAAAAGAGGUCGCAAUAACGGCAACCAAAGCGCUCGCCGACGUCAAAGGCGCAUUGAUAUGGGAUGGAUGCACUUCAAUAUUUCGCAGAACUGUUUCCGCCAAGUUAGGUCCGUAAAAUGGUGGAGGGACAAGGGGCCUUAGUUUGGACAGGCAUAUGACAGUAAAUGAUUUAAAAGUUGCGACACUCGCCAAGUUCUUUCCAAAUUCUGUAUCCAAAUUUGGUGCCUUAGAAAAUUGUAACGCGGAAAUCCGUGACUUUAAAGGAGAAAACGUAUCUUCAGACACCACAAUUGAAGAUUUGUAUCAAACAAGUAAGUUAAAAACAUUGAAAGCCUACUUGUACUCGUAAAAGAAAAAAGGCAAUCCAAAACUACAACCGUUCAAAACCACGAAACUUCACAAACAGACAGAGAAAGUGAUGCCGAUAAAACUACUGUACCAAUAGAAGAUGCAGAUGACUGGUUGAGUUCUGGUACUCCAGAGGUCACAUUCCAUCGAAGACUAUCGAGAAACCAUAACUCUUCAGGACCAAGUUCGAGAACGAGUUCAAGCUCUUGGAGAGAACGGGUACAUGCACCAUUUAUCGAUAUAACUGAUAGUACUAGCGACGACGAAGAUCCACUAUUGCGGCAUGCAAUUGAAACAAGUCUGGCGGAAACAUCUGGACCCCCACAAGACUGAGAUUUCUAUAAUUUAGAUUUAACAUCAUUGUAUAAAUAUAGUGCGUGAGUGUUUCCAUAGAGAGAGUAUGUUUACCGCGUCAGCUUUUUCUUUAUGAUAACAUCUAAUCGUGACGUUGGAAUGUUUAUCUAAACAAAACAUUUAACAUGAAUUGUGCAAAUAUAUUAGUGUUUCCCGUAGCCAUGUACGAUGUUUGAUUUAACACGGACUAUUUUUGUUGCGAAAUUUUCAUUUAUUUAUAGUAUUAUACUACCACCAGUAUGUAAUGCCCUAUAGGGUAAUAGUUAAUUAUCACAUCAUGUGAAAUGUACAAUACUGUGAUUUAUACAGGUUAUAUUUCUCAGACAAAAUUAGGCGUUUUACUAAUGUACAUUACAGAAAAGUUCGUUAUACUUCUUUUUGCUGAUUCGUAUCGAUAAUUUAUUAGGUAAGAAAUUCACAAGCCGCGGAAGCCCACUCGUUAAGGUUGUUUCUGUCACGUUGUAUACGUGCAUCUGAUGCAUGCUUAAAUACAGCAUGAUCAAGUGGCGUCGUGGUCGAGUGGUUGACGCGUAGGUCUAGUAAUCUAAGGAUUGCUGACCGCGUAGGUUCAAACCCUGUCAGGAGCAAUCCGUUGUUUCUUUGAGCAAGAAACUUUACAUUCAUUGCUUAGUAUUGGUUGGUUCCAGGAACGGAUUCGAGAGUGUUGCAAUAAGCUUCAAACACAAUCGAACGAAAAUAAAUUUGUUUAAAACAAAUACAGCAAACCAUGUACAUGUACAUAAUUAGUCUAACUAAUGUCAUACCAUUUACGGUAUGUUUGAAUAAAGGUUAAAUGUUGAAUAUGGUUUACAGAAUGUUAAGAAAAGACACAGAGGAAAUACUUCAUGAGCUGAUUGGCGCAGUUGAUUGUACCAAGAUUUUUUUUUAUAAACGUUACAAGACAUAAUGUCUUUGAAGGCGUAAUGCGUGGAUUUCAAAGAAAAACAUUUGAUCCACUGGUUGAACUGCAUGUCAAAUUGGCGCCAAGGAUGGUAUAGACGAUGGGGGCCUAACAAGGGAAUGCAUGCGUUUAUUAAAAAAGGAGAUCUGCGAGCAUCAGAUAUUCUGUGGAAAUGACAACUUGAGGCAGUUUGUCCUAAACGCUACAGGUUUGGACUUUAUAUCGUUUUAGCCAAUGCAAUAUAUCUUUUUCAUAUAUCCAAGCCUUGAUUUUGUGAAGUAAAAUCGAUGUUCUUUUUAGCUCAUCUGUCACAAAGUGACAAGGUGAGUUUUUGUGGCCACAAUUCUUCCGUUGUCCGUAAACUUUUACUUUAAACGUCAUCUCCUCAUAAACCGCUAAGCCAAUUUCAUGUUAUUUGGUGGUCACCUUUGAAAAAUUUUCAAAGAAUUUAAUUCCAUGCAGAACUCUGGUUGCCAUGGUAACUGAAAGAAAAUAUUUCUUUUAAAAAACGGUUUUUCGUCUUUUUUGUAACCAAAUUGAAAGCACGGACUCAUGGUUUUUACCCUGCUUUGACGUUAGACUAAAGAGUGUGAGCUAAAAAUAUAAGUAUAGAUAUGGUCACACUCGUGAGAUCCUGAUCGGAGCCAAAUCAAUGUUUAAGUAGUAAAAAAUACUAUUUUUGGUGUGUAAGACUGAAUAAUAUGGUGGUAAGCAUUGGUUAUGUAGCAAUCCUGAUAUUUAUGAUAUAUAUAUUGCGCGUGCCUAUUUUCGCCUAUUUUUCGUGUGAUUUUCUGUAUCUAUAUAUAGAGAGAAAGGUCAAAUAAUAGUCCGAUACUCUUGUUCAAAUGUAAUUCAAACAUAAAUAAUACUUGAAAUCAUAACGCAAAAUCCAGAAGAAGCGGGAUUUAAAUCCUCGUAUGCAUUGCCCAAACGCGUACAUAUUUGUAAGUGCAUUUCAGUAACCCAUCUAAGGUUUUUGCCCUCUUGAGGAAUAGUUGUCCAAUGAGUUACCUAUUUAUAUGUAAAAUGAUUAAAAUCUGGACGUCGUGUAUUGAUAAGUGUUCAUAUUAAGUAUCAUUUACAAAAAUGAAUUGGUCAAAACGACAUUUAGUGAAUGUUAACUAAUCACGUGCACGGGGGUGAACUUCAUAUGGAUCUCAAAAUAGAGUUUCAGUAGAACGAAUGGGCAAUAUAACACUAUAUGUGAAAAUCGCAGGGUAAAUUUUUAACUUUUUUAACAUUUAUAUAAAAUUCAAAGCUGUCUUUUUUUAAAUUUUAUCCCCCAUCAUACUCAUUAUUGUACCAGAUUUUUAUGCAGUGUUUGUCGAAAUAUUGUUCCAUCCCGGGUUCUGGUGUGUCCAAGACAUGCAAUACAUACAAAAACGGACUCGAAAUCUUACCACCGAACGAUGCUAAACAUUCAAACAACCCUUGAAACAUUUACAAGAUUUGGAUUGGGAAUAUUGGUCGAAAUUUAAUUCCAGCUGAAAAGAUACAUAUGUGAUCUAGAAAACCAUCUACAAAAUUACGAAUCACUUUUAUAAAAGAGCAAUCUAAAGGAACAAGUAAGGUUUCGUUGAUUUUGGCUGAAAGCCCAUUAGUCCAUAUGCUUGGUAAUUAAAUAUCGCUUCAUCAAUAUGCUAACUAUCUGAUGCUAGCAAAAGAAAUACAAAAAAUAUCGACUAUGUAAAAAUGUGGACUCAGAGCGAACACUACUCGCACAAAAUAUAAUUUCCCUACUGAGGGGAAACGUAUCUUAGACAAGCUUAACUAAUAUUUUAAACAGUUGACAAAUGAAAGUGAUUAAUCUUUGUAAAGCUAUCAUGCCUUAUUUUUUUCCAUUCAUAAUUUAAAUUCAUAAAGAUAAACAUCACUUUAAGAUUACAAACGUAUAUUUAAUAGAUUUUCACUCAAUUGGACAAAUAAUUUCUUAUUGACUGUCAUGCAGUGAAUCGCAAGUAAACUUCUUCAUACAGACUGUCCCCAAAUAUUCUUCUCUCGUGUAGGGUAAACAAAGCGAAAGAUGAGAAUUUGUAUGAAAAUGGUCAAUGAAGAGUCGUGAACUUCAAUCUACUUAUAAUUUUGACAGCAACUGUAAUUUAACAUAGUCAUAAGUAUUUAAAUCAACACAUAAUCAACGUAUCGAUAAGAUAUACUUUUUUGUAGUGAUUUAUAUAUACGUAUCGACAUGGGUGAUCUGAAUAGAAGUAACGUGUUAUACUAGUCGAUAUAAAAUCAGAUAUAAAAUCUAAAUCUUAAACUUAUAUCUAAGCUCUAGCUAAAUGGGUUUUUAAAACAAGAUUUUUAAGUUUUUCCUAUAUACAUAUAAGGAAAAUCAAUGAUCCCCCAGGGCGGGGCCAAUUUUGACCCCAGGGCUUUCAUUUGAACAAACUUGGUACAAUAAUUUUAUUAUUUCAUUCUAUUAUUUAUUCCUUUUUCUCAAAAUUUGAUACUUAGAGCACUUAAUUCAAAAGCUAUAAAUAACUUUAAAUGGAACAUUAUUGACUUUUGAAACUUAUACUUUAUACAUUUAUAUUUAAAUAACUUCAUUUAAUCACUCUUAGUAUCAUAAUUUUAUUAUAAUGCUUAUCUAUAUUUCUAAUAUUUUUAUAUAUUUUUUCUCCAUUAAAAGUUCAUUUGAUUUAUUUAUAUUCACAUAUAAAACAUUUGUUAAAAUUAGUUCAUGAAAAUUAGUUCCUGAAAUUUACGUUAAACUGAAAUUGAUAAUUAUUUGAUAUCACACAAUUUUAUUCAAAUAGUAUAAACUUAUUUCUGACUAACUUCAGGGAAGGGCCCACGAUAAUGUUGUUAGAACUUUUGGCCCAUCCCUUUUGUAUGUACACUUGAUAUUGUCUGUAAAAUUAUGAAAUUGUAUAUUGUGUGUAUAUUUAUACAAUAAAAUAUUAUUAAACUAAGAAGAUG